rnacentral:lncRNA from 1 species
AGUUGUGAAGGUUUCCAACUACUAUGUAAUUUUUUGAGGAGGGUGGAGAAGGUGGGUAGGGCUCCCCUCAAAAUCCAGCUUUUUCUGAUCCUCCAACAGGGAUUUUCUUUGGUUCUAACAAGUCGAAAGAAGAUGUAUAAGCUAUGUUUAAAGGACUUUUCUGUUGAUACCUAUGUCCCUUUUCCUCCUUUUUUCCUUAAGUAUUUCUGAAGGUAUUAGCAGAUUGCUACUGCUCAUCCUGGGCAGAUAGAGACUGCGGUUUCUCCCUGCUAGAAAAGAUGAAGGAUGCAGAGUUGAGACCAUGUGGGACUGCCAGCUAAGAAGUAGCAGGUCUUACAGAACUGCCUGGCUGAGGAUGGCGGGGGCAUUGAUGUCCCAUAUGGCAGUGGGCAGCCGCUGACCCUGCCCUGAAGAGGCACACCAUUUUCAGAGGCUCUGAGUCUCAAGGGGAGUAAAAGGAAUAAGCAAGCUGUGUUUUACUACUUGUGUAGAUAUUGUAAUUCCCUUCUCAGAAGAUCUUGAUGGUUCUUAUCUUUUAAUCACUGCUUAGUUUUCCUCAGGCAGAUCAUUAAGAGAGAUCCUGGGAGACACCAGUAGAUUUGCAAAGCAGUUUGCUCAAGCUUGGUAAAUUAACAGCAUAAGCUGAUUUUCCUGGUUUAUUUUAGAACUGUUGUUAGCUCUCACUUUCUAGGAUUUGGUCCAAGACAGAAGACCCUUCUAGGGUUCAGGAAAGGAAAGCAUCUCUUUGGGGGCAUUGUGUGACAAUCCCAUCAUCCACUAUUCAGAGACCAUAUGAAGACAACUUUGGAUCUGUAUUUAGUGACAAUUGCAUUUUUUUGGUCAUUUCCUCAAAGCCCAUUUUUUAAUUUAGAAAAAGAGACCAUCUUAUCAUCAUCAUCAUCAUCAUCAUCAUCAUCAUCAUCAUCACCAGAACUUAAAUACAGUUUUAUUUCUUGUGGGAAGAAGAUUUUGUAAAUACAGAAAUUUAAGACUUCUUAUAUUCAGUGGGCAAGCUCCUGUGAGGGUCAAUGCUCAGUGUUACAUGAACACUGAGAGGUUCACAAGAGGCAAACCAAACCCUCUUCCUUUUAAAAAAUUCUGCCAAAUAUUUGUUCAACAGAGAAAUAUGUCCUCUACAUUAGCAUCCUGUGGCUAACUGGGCUUCCUUUUGUUACAGUUCUCUUCCCUCACUAUAAAAUAAAUGUGCCCUGGCUUGCAGGCUCCAAGGACUCAGGCAGCAUUUCUGACCAUGGGGCAGAGGUAAUAAUUAGGAAAGAACAUAUUGCUAUUGAUAGGUGUAAACUCAAGGGCAGGCACUCAAAAGUCCAAUCUAUGUUAUGUAAAAGAAGGUCAUGACUAAAGCCAAGGAACCAAAUGCUCCAGGGAAAUCCGGGCAGUAGCAGGAACAGUAUUUCUGAAGGUAUUAGCAGAUUGCUACUGCUCAUCCUGGGCAGAUAGAGACUGCGGUUUCUCCCUGCUAGAAAAGAUGAAGGAUGCAGAGUUGAGACCAUGUGGGACUGCCAGCUAAGAAGUAGCAGGUCUUACAGAACUGCCUGGCUGAGGAUGGCGGGGGCAUUGAUGUCCCAUAUGGCAGUGGGCAGCCGCUGACCCUGCCCUGAAGAGGCACACCAUUUUCAGAGGCUCUGAGUCUCAAGGGGAGUAAAAGGAAUAAGCAAGCUGUGUUUUACUACUUGUGUAGAUAUUGUAAUUCCCUUCUCAGAAGAUCUUGAUGGUUCUUAUCUUUUAAUCACUGCUUAGUUUUCCUCAGGCAGAUCAUUAAGAGAGAUCCUGGGAGACACCAGUAGAUUUGCAAAGCAGUUUGCUCAAGCUUGGUAAAUUAACAGCAUAAGCUGAUUUUCCUGGUUUAUUUUAGAACUGUUGUUAGCUCUCACUUUCUAGGAUUUGGUCCAAGACAGAAGACCCUUCUAGGGUUCAGGAAAGGAAAGCAUCUCUUUGGGGGCAUUGUGUGACAAUCCCAUCAUCCACUAUUCAGAGACCAUAUGAAGACAACUUUGGAUCUGUAUUUAGUGACAAUUGCAUUUUUUUGGUCAUUUCCUCAAAGCCCAUUUUUUAAUUUAGAAAAAGAGACCAUCUUAUCAUCAUCAUCAUCAUCAUCAUCAUCAUCAUCAUCAUCACCAGAACUUAAAUACAGUUUUAUUUCUUGUGGGAAGAAGAUUUUGUAAAUACAGAAAUUUAAGACUUCUUAUAUUCAGUGGGCAAGCUCCUGUGAGGGUCAAUGCUCAGUGUUACAUGAACACUGAGAGGUUCACAAGAGGCAAACCAAACCCUCUUCCUUUUAAAAAAUUCUGCCAAAUAUUUGUUCAACAGAGAAAUAUGUCCUCUACAUUAGCAUCCUGUGGCUAACUGGGCUUCCUUUUGUUACAGUUCUCUUCCCUCACUAUAAAAUAAAUGUGCCCUGGCUUGCAGGCUCCAAGGACUCAGGCAGCAUUUCUGACCAUGGGGCAGAGGUAAUAAUUAGGAAAGAACAUAUUGCUAUUGAUAGGUGUAAACUCAAGGGCAGGCACUCAAAAGUCCAAUCUAUGUUAUGUAAAAGAAGGCCCAUGGCUCCUGUUCAAUUUUGCUCUCAUUUUGCCUGAUACUUGCAUGUGCCAAAAGUGUGGAAAUAGUUAAUAAGGGGGUGAGUUUUAAAGGAUGUAUGAGCUUUUGUUUGAUUUUAUAUCUUUUGAUCAUUGGAAAUCCUCGUACUUGAACCUGUUUCAAUUGUGGAAGACUUCAACUGGUAAAACACUGAAGACCAGAGCUAGCUGUGGCAGAGGGAGCAGGUGGGACAUCCAGAAACAGUUGGGAAAGCCCUUUUCAUCCAUUCUCAGAAUGGCAACUUUUUGACCCUGAAAAAUGCACAGAGCCCACCUUGAAGUCAAAUACAGGAAGGGUCAACAGCAGGGCUAGAGCAGGAGAAGCAAAACGAGAUGGAGGACAAAGAUCUCACAUCUAAAGUAAAUGUCUCUUUAAUUACCACACACAAAAAAAAUGAAAUAGAUAUCCUUUUAGGGGACAUUGGCUAAAAUAUUAAACUGUUCAAAACACAAAGAGAUAAAUAAAAUUCUUCAUAAAGACUGUUUCUCUUUCUCUAUUAUUAUUAUUUAUCAAUUUUUAAAAGGCAGUUAAACUAUUUUUCUAUGUGCUUAAACUGCAGAGCUCUUAAUGAGCUAUCCAAUCCUUUAUUUCAUUUUUCUUGUUGCUAAUGAAAUUUUGGGGAUAACCCCAUACCCAGGCUGAUAGGAAUUUAUAGGAAGACCAAGACAGGGGAAUAUGUUCAUUGUUUUUGUUUUGUUUUGUUUUGUUUUAGUAGAGAGAGAGAGAAAAAGACAGAUGCUCGUUUAUGGUUUGGGUUGGUUUUUAAGUUGGGAUCAUUUACUUGUA